ensembl:lncRNA
CUUUGUAGUUGCUUUGUGGGUAUUUGUAGUUGUUUUUUGGGUCUUUGUAGUUAUUUUGUGGGUCUUUGGAGUUGUUUUGAGGGGCCUUUGAAGUAGUUUUACGGGUCUUUGUAGUUGUUUUGUGUCUCUUUGAAGUAGUUUUGUGUCUCUUUGAAGUAGUUUUGUGUCUCUUUGUAGUAGUUUUGUGGCUCUUUGAAAGUAGUUUUGUGUCUCUUUGAAAGUAGUUUUGUGUCUCUUUGUAGUUGUUUUGUGUCUCUUUGUAGUAGUUUUGUGGGUCUUUGUAGUUGUUUUGUGGGUCUUUGUAGUUGUUUUGUGUCUCUUUGAAGUAUUUUGUGGGUCUUUUGUAGUUGUUUUGUGUCUCUUUGAAGUAGUUUUGUGGGUCUUUGUAGUUGUUUUGUGUCUCUUUGAAGUAGUUUUGUGGGUCUUUGUAGUAGUUUUGUGGGUCUUUUUAGUUGUCUUGUGUCUCUUUGUAGUAGUUUUGCGGGUCUUUGUAGUUGUUUUGUGUCAUUUUGUAGUAGUUUUGCGGGUCUUUGUAGUUGUUUUGUGUCUUUUUGUAGUUGUUCUGUGGGUCUUUGAAGUUGUUUUCCUGACUGGAGCUCUGUGUCCCGACGAAAACAUAAAUAUUGUUACGUAAUAUUUUCCUAAAUGUAUAAAGCCCAGUUUUCUGUGUUUUCCUGCUGACACUGCAGCUGUAGCAUGACGUACAACUAGUAGCAUGUAAUAUGUUCUCUC